GGCAGGUAGACUAGGGGCGGCAGGUAGACUGGAGGCAGGUAGACUAGGAGAAGGUAUACAAGGGGCAGGUAGACUGGAGGAAGGUAGACUGGAGGCAGGUAGACUAGGAGAAGGUAGACUAGGAGAAGGUAUACAAGGGGCAGGUAGACUGGAGGAAGGUAGACUGGAGACAGGUAGACUAGGAGAAGGUAGACUAGGAGAAGGUAUACAAGGGGCAGGUAGACUAGGGGCAGGUAGACUAGGGGCGGCAGGUAGACUGGAGGCAGGUAGACUAGGAGAAGGUAUACAAGGGGAAGGUAGUUUAGGGGCGGCAGGUAGACUGGAGGCAGGUAGACUAGGAGAAGGUAUACACGGGGCAGGUAGACUAGGAGAAGGUAGACUAGGAGAAGGUAGACACGGGGCAGGUAGACUAGGAGAAGGUAGACUAGGAGAAGGUAUACACGGGGCAGGUAGACUAGGAGAAGGUAUACACGGGGCAGGUAGACUAGGGGCGGCAGGUAGACUGGAGGCAGGUAGACUAGGAGAAGGUAGAUUAGGAGAAGGUAUACAAGGGGCAGGUAGACUGGGGCGGCAGGUAGACUAGGAGAAGGUAGACUAGGAGAAGGUAGACUAGGAGAAGGUAUACAAGGGGCAGGUAGACUAGGGGCGGCAGGUAGACUAGAGGCAGGUAGACUAGGAGAAGAUAUACAACGGGCAGGUAGACUAGGGGCGGCAGGUAGACUGGAGGCAGGUAGACUGGAGGCAGGUAGACUGGAGGCAGGUAGACUCGGAGAAGGUAGAUUAGGAGAAGGUAUACAAGGGGCAGGUAGACUAGGGGCGGCAGGUAGACUAGGAGAAGGUAGACUAGGAGAAGGUAGACUAGGAGAAGGUAUACAACGGGCAGGUAGACUAGGAGAAGGUAGACUAGGAGAAGGUAGACUAGGAGAAGGUAGACUAGGAGAAGGUAUACAAGGGGCAGGUAGACUGGAGGCAGGUAGACUAGGGGCAGGUAAACUAGGGGCGGCAUGUAGACUAGGAGAAGGUAUAAAAGGAGAAGGUAUACAAGGGGCAGGUAGACUGGAGGCAGGUAGACUGGAGGCAGGUAGACUAGGAGAAGGUAGACUAGGGGCAGGUAGACUAGAGGAGGCAGGUAGACUAGAGGAGGCAGGUAGACUAGGAGAAUGUAUACAAGGGGCAGGUACACUAGGAGAAUGUAUACAAGGGGCAGGUAGACUAGGGGCAG
ensembl:lncRNA